UACAGAGGCCUCGAGCGUUAGGCGGAAUCACUGGGCUUAAAGCGUGUGUAGGUGGAUGCCUAAGUACCUUGUGAAAUCCCACAGCUCAACUGUGGAACUGCUUGGUAUACUGCCUAUCUUGAGCCACUUAGGGGCUGUCGGAACAAAUGGUGGAGCGGUGAAAUGCGUAGAUAUCAUUUGGAACGCCAAAGGUGAAAACAGACAGCUGGGAGUGUGCUGACGCCGAGACACGAAAGCCAGGGGAGCGAACGGG
rnacentral:rRNA from 1 species